rnacentral:tRNA from 1 species
GCCCGGGUGGUGGAAUUGGUAGACACGCUGUCUUGAGGGGGCAGUGAACGAAAGUUCGUGCGAGUUCAAGUCUCGCCCCGGGCACCC